CCUACGGGAGGCAGCAGUGGGGAAUAUUGGGCAAUGGGCGCAAGCCUGACCCAGCAACGCCGCGUGAAGGAAGAAGGCUUUCGGGUUGUACACUUCUUUUCUCAGGGACGAAGAAAGUGACGGUACCUGAGGAAUAAGCCACGGCUAACUACGUGCCAGCAGCCGCGGUAAUACGUAGGUGGCAAGCGUUAUACGGAUUUAUUGGGUGUAAAGUGCGUGGCGGCGGGAGCGCAAGUCAGAUGUGAAAACUCAGGGCUCAACCCUGAGCCUGAAUUUGAAACUGUGUUUCUUGAGUGCUGGAGAGGCAAGCGGAAUUCCGGGUGUAGCGGUGAAAUGCGUAGAGAUACGGAGGAACACCAGUGGCGAAGGCGGAUUGCUGGACAGUAACUGACGCUGAGGCGCGAAAGCGUGGGGAGCAAACAGGAUUAGAUACCCUUGUAGUC
rnacentral:rRNA from 1 species